AGCGAACGCUGGCGGCAGGCCUAACACAUGCAAGUCGAACGAAGCCUUCGGGCUUAGUGGCGGACGGGUGAGUAACACGUGGGAACGUACCUUUUGGUUCGGAACAACUCAGGGAAACUUGAGCUAAUACCGGAUGAGCCCUUCGGGGGAAAGAUUUAUCGCCGAAAGAGCGGCCCGCGUUAGAUUAGCUAGUGGGUGAGGUAAAGGCUCACCAAGGCAACGAUCUAUAGCUGGUCUGAGAGGAUGAUCAGCCACACUGUGACUGAGACACGGCCCAGACUGCUACGGGAGGCAGCAGGGGGGAAUUUUGCGGAAUGGGCGAAAGCCUGACGCAGCCAUGGCGCGUGAAUGAUGAAGGUCUUAGGAUUGUAAAAUUCUUUUACCAGGGACGAUAAUGACGGUACCUGGAGAAAAAGCCCCGGCUAACUUCGUGCCAGCCGCCGCGGUAAGAC
rnacentral:rRNA from 1 species